CUGCAGUAAACCAAAAGAAAAGAAAGAGUAAGAAGCCUUGUAAAGGAAACUAAAGACAAGAAACUAAACUAGACCGAAGCUGAAGCUGAAACAAAGAUGUGAGAAUUAUCAGGAGAAGAGUCUCAAUGAAUGAAUCUGAACCACGGCAGCAUCUAUUUUAGAUUCUGGUCACGUUCUGCUUUACUCACCUCGUCUCUUAAACCUGCGUCUCCGAAUAAAGUAGACGGUGAUGAUGAUGAGGAUGAAGAGAAGAGGAGCACUCAUUCCUAACUGGAAACCAGUUUGUUUGACUGGAAACAAACAUAAACAUAAAUAUCAUUUAAACAUUUUAUCUACAGAACAGGGGCCCGUUCUUCGUACCUCGCUAAGUAAGUUAGCCGGAUUUGAUUGUUGACGAUUUCGCGUGAUCUUGGAUCGUUCGGUUCUCCGAAGCUCAUCCGGGACUUGCUGUCAUAGCAACAGAUCCGUAAGCGUAAACCUGCUCGGGAGCAGGUUUACUUUAUGUAAACAGGAUUAGAUCGCCGCCACUCAGAUGGCCGCCCCUCCCUGUACCGGGUUCUGCUCGGGGUUUCUUCCUGUUCCCUCCGCCAUCUCGGCCACCCUCUGGGCCAGCUCCUCCCUCUGGCUCGGUUGUGGGCCAGCCAUGCUGCGUCCCGGGUUUCAGCACCAGUGUGGCGUGAAUAAGGCUCGGCGGGACCACAGGUUGUUAUUGAGAGCCAUUUUUGUUCAUUCCAUGGCUGCAGCUCUCUGCUGGCAGCACAUCACACCGCCACACACAACCCCUGAGUCCCCGUGUUUUAACACGGCGAGCGUGAUCGCAGAUGCUGUGCAGUGUCUCGUCUCCAUGUUGGAACAGCUGAUCCUCCAACAUCACCAGGACAUUUCAGUGAGACGCUGUCUCUCUCUUCAACAGUGCGUCUUAUUGUUCCUGUGAAUAAUAAAUGAAUGUGUGACUAAAAACCAGGAUUGAGCUUGUAAAAUGGACAAUUAUUGGAUUUUCUCGUGUUCAUUAUGAAAUCAGGGGCCAAAACAAACAAAGAAACAAAAAAAUAAAAACAAACAAUAUCAAAAAAGUAAAAGCAAAUAGCUAAUUUAAGAAAUGUGAUAAAUUAACCUAUUGAGACCUGAGGGAUGUACUCAGAUUACGGGGUUAGCAGGUAUGUUGAGCCCAAAGCUCGGGUAUUCAAAGUCACCAGGGUAACUG
rnacentral:lncRNA from 1 species